rnacentral:rRNA from 1 species
AGUGAACGCUGGCGGUAGGCCUAACACAUGCAAGUCGAACGGCAGCACAGUAAGAGCUUGCUCUACGGGUGGGGGGUGGGGGAAGGGGGAGGGAAACAACCGGAACCUACUUUUCGGUGGGGAUUACGGAGGGAAAACUAAGGCUAAAACGCAUACCAACCACGGGUGAAAAGCAGGGAAUCUUCGACCCUUGGCGGAUGAAUGAGGCGAUGGUGGAUUAGCUAGUUUGGGGGGUAAAGGCCCACCAAGGCGACGAACCGUAGCUGGUCUGAGAGGAUGAUCAGCCACACUGGAACUGAGACACGGUCCAGACUCCUACGGGAGGCAGCAGUGGGGAAUAUUGGACAAUGGGCGCAAGCCUGAUCCAGCCAUACCGCGUGGGUGAAGAAGGCCUUCGGGUUGUAAAGCCCUUUUGUUGGGAAAGAAAAGCAGCAGGUUAAUACCCCGCUGUUCUGACGGUACCCAAAGAAUAAGCACCGGCUAACUUCGUG